CUCCGAUGGCCUCUUCUGCGUGUUGCGUCCUUUGAGCAUUCUGUAAUGAGUGCCCGGGUAGAACCAGAGAAUCUGAUGACUGCAGUCACAGCAUUAAAGGAAAAUCACUGAGACAACUCAACGGGGAGAGUGUCUGCAACAAAUACCACUGGGAUCAUGGGAAGAACGUAUGGACAAACGAGGUAUGUUGAACUCAACCUCACGCAACAUCCAAAACCUUACUGUGAGAGGAAUGGCA
rnacentral:lncRNA from 1 species